GACGAACGCUGGCGGCGUGCCUAAUACAUGCAAGUCGAACGAGUGGCGGACGGGUGAGUAACGCAUCGGUACGUACCGAGUAAUGGGGGAUAACUGUCCGAAAGGACAGCUAAUACCGCAUAUUUUUCGAGCGGGCGUUGUCUGAUUUGCUGGUUGGCGGGGUAAAGGCCCACCAAGGCGACGAUCAGUAGCGGGUCUGAGAGGAUGAUCCGCCACACUGGAACUGAGACACGGCCCAGACUCCUACGGGAGGCAGCAGUGGGGAAUUUUGGACAAUGGGCGCAAGCCUGAUCCAGCCAUGCCGCGUGUCUGAAGAAGGCCUUCGGGUUGUAAAGGACUUUUGUCAGGGAGGCGGUACCUGAAGAAUAAGCACCGGCUAACUACGUGCCAGCCGCCGCGGUAAUAC
rnacentral:rRNA from 1 species